rnacentral:rRNA from 1 species
UACAGAGGGUGCAAGCGUUAUUCGGAAUUACUGGGCGUAAAGCGCGCGUAGGCGGAUUGUUAAGUCAGUUGUGAAAGCCCUGGGCUCAACCUAGGAAUGGCGAUUGAAACUGGCAGUCUAGAGUUUAGUAGAGGGAAGGGGAAUUUCUGGAGUAGCAGUGAAAUGCGUAGAUAUCAGAAGGAACAUCAGUGGCGAAGGCGCCUUCCUGGACUAAAACUGACGCUGAGGUGCGAAAGCGUGGGGAGCAAACGGG